rnacentral:rRNA from 1 species
GGAUGCGAUCAUACCAGCACUAAAGCACCGGAUCCCAUCAGAACUCCGAAGUUAAGCGUGCUUGGGCGAGAGUAGUUCUAGGAUGGGUGACCUCCUGGGAAGUCCUCGUGUUGCAUUCC